rnacentral:rRNA from 1 species
GACGAACGCUGGCGGCGUGCUUAACACAUGCAAGUCGAACGGAAAGGCCCUGCUUUUGUGGUGUGCUCGAGUGGCGAACGGGUGAGUAACACGUGAGUAACCUGCCCUUGACUUUGGGAUAACUUCAGGAAACUGGGGCUAAUACCGGAUAGGAGCUCCUGCUGCAUGGUGGGGGUUGGAAAGUUUCGGCGGGUGGGGAUGGACUCGCGGCUUAUCAGCUUGUUGGUGGGGUAGUGGCUUACCAAGGCUUUGACGGGUAGCCGGCCUGAGAGGGUGACCGGCCACAUUGGGACUGAGAUACGGCCCAGACUCCUACGGGAGGCAGCAGGGGGGAAUAUUGCACAAUGGGCGGAAGCCUGAUGCAGCAACGCCGCGUGCGGGAUGACGGCCUUCGGGUUGUAAACCGCUUUCGCCUGUGACGAAGCGUGAGUGACGGUAAUGGGUAAAGAAGCACCGGCUAACUACGUG